rnacentral:rRNA from 1 species
AAAUUGAAGAGUUUGAUCAUGGCUCAGAUUGAACGCUGGCGGCAGGCCUAACACAUGCAAGUCGAGCGGUAGCACAGAGAGCUUGCUCUCGGGUGACGAGCGGCGGACGGGUGAGUAAUGUCUGGGAAACUGCCUGAUGGAGGGGGAUAACUACUGGAAACGGUAGCUAAUACCGCAUAAUGUCGCAAGACCAAAGUGGGGGACCUUCGGGCCUCAUGCCAUCAGAUGUGCCCAGAUGGGAUUAGCUAGUAGGUGGGGUAACGGCUCACCUAGGCGACGAUCUCUAGCUGGUCUGAGAGGAUGACCAGCCACACUGGAACUGAGACACGGUCCAGACUCCUACGGGAGGCAGCAGUGGGGAAUAUUGCACAAUGGGCGCAAGCCUGAUGCAGCCAUGCCGCGUGUGUGAAGAAGGCCUUCGGGUUGUAAAGCACUUUCAGCGGGGAGGAAGGCGUUAAGGUUAAUAACCUUGGCGAUUGACGUUACCCGCAGAAGAAGCACCGGCUAACUCCGUGCCAGCAGCCGCGGUAAUACGGAGGGUGCAAGCGUUAAUCGGAAUUACUGGGCGUAAAGCGCACGCAGGCGGUCUGUCAAGUCGGAUGUGAAAUCCCCGGGCUCAACCUGGGAACUGCAUUCGAAACUGGCAGGCUAGAGUCUUGUAGAGGGGGGUAGAAUUCCAGGUGUAGCGGUGAAAUGCGUAGAGAUCUGGAGGAAUACCGGUGGCGAAGGCGGCCCCCUGGACAAAGACUGACGCUCAGGUGCGAAAGCGUGGGGAGCAAACAGGAUUAGAUACCCUGGUAGUCCACGCCGUAAACGAUGUCGAUUUGGAGGUUGUGCCCUUGAGGCGUGGCUUCCGGAGCUAACGCGUUAAAUCGACCGCCUGGGGAGUACGGCCGCAAGGUUAAAACUCAAAUGAAUUGACGGGGGCCCGCACAAGCGGUGGAGCAUGUGGUUUAAUUCGAUGCAACGCGAAGAACCUUACCUGGUCUUGACAUCCACAGAACUUUCCAGAGAUGGAUUGGUGCCUUCGGGAACUGUGAGACAGGUGCUGCAUGGCUGUCGUCAGCUCGUGUUGUGAAAUGUUGGGUUAAGUCCCGCAACGAGCGCAACCCUUAUCCUUUGUUGCCAGCGGUUAGGCCGGGAACUCAAAGGAGACUGCCAGUGAUAAACUGGAGGAAGGUGGGGAUGACGUCAAGUCAUCAUGGCCCUUACGACCAGGGCUACACACGUGCUACAAUGGCAUAUACAAAGAGAAGCGACCUCGCGAGAGCAAGCGGACCUCAUAAAGUAUGUCGUAGUCCGGAUUGGAGUCUGCAACUCGACUCCAUGAAGUCGGAAUCGCUAGUAAUCGUAGAUCAGAAUGCUACGGUGAAUACGUUCCCGGGCCUUGUACACACCGCCCGUCACACCAUGGGAGUGGGUUGCAAAAGAAGUAGGUAGCUUAACCUUCGGGAGGGCGCUUACCACUUUGUGAUUCAUGACUGGGGUGAAGUCGUAACAAGGUAACCGUAGGGGAACCUGCGGUUGGAUCACCUCCUUA